ACGUAAUAGAUACCCCGGUAGUCCACGCCCUAAACGAUGUCUACUAGUUGUUGGUGGAGUAAAAUCCAUGAGUAAACGCAGCUAAACGCGUGAAGUAGACCGCCUGGGGAGUACGGUCGCAAGAUUAAAAACUCAAAGGAAUUGACGGGGGCCCGCACAAGCGGUGGAUUAUGUGGAUUAAUUCGAUGCAACGCGAAAAACCUUACCUGGCCUUGACAUGCCACUAACGAAGCAGAGAUGCAUUAGGUGCCCGUAAGGGAAAGUGGACACAGGUGCUGCAUGGCUGUCGUCAGCUCGUGUCGUGAGAUGUUGGGUUAAGUCCCGCAACGAGCGCAACCCUUGCCAUUAAUUGCCAUCAUUUAGUUGGGCACUUUAAUGGGACUGCCGGUGACAAACCGGAGGAAGGUGGGGAUGACGUCAAGUCCUCAUGG
rnacentral:rRNA from 1 species